GACUCUGACAGGGAGGUGUGGCCACCAGCCUCAAGGCUGAGUAGGGCCUUCUUGGGCUCUCUGCUUCCUGGGGGUCCUGGGUGCCUGGGGCCGGGGCUGUGGUGACAGCAGGUCGAGGCAGAGGUGGCUCUUGGGACAGUGACUCUACAUAAGGAAGGGGGCAGUGCCGGGAGAUCUAGAUUCAUUUGGAUAUUGGUUACAAAGAAGCCAGGGAGAGCAGAGGCAGAGCCCUUUUUAGAUACAACGUACUUACUUUUCAAAUGAACAAAAAGGCAAUUUCUAUGUUUUAAAAAUAUAAGCUCCAAAGACGAUGACACAGAAUUCAUUUGGUUAAUUCACGUAAAGGAAAAACACCACCACCACUACCACACGAACAGGGAAGUGGGAGUAUGAUUAGGAGAGUGAGAUGGAAACUAUUUUACAGAAACAAUUCUACCAAAAGACUGUCGAAAGAACACGCUGUCGAUGCAGUUCAUAGGGAAAAAGCAAAUGCAUUGUUUUCUAUAUUUUUUAAUAGCUCCCUGGUCCCAGGUGUUUUGCAGUUUUCAAGGUCUCAUCUGCUAAAGCAAUGCCCUUUUGGUCACAGCAGGUCCCCUGCAGUUUGGUGGUGGCAAAAGAGAAAACAAAACAAACCAAGACUCAGAGAAACUGCCAUUCCCCGAGUCUGUUCCUGUGUGACAGUGGGGCCCAUUCCCGUCUCGAAGCAUCUCUCUUGUUCCAAACAUGGUGUCCCUUUACAUCAGGUCUCCCUCCCACCCAACUAGGCUUCGAGUCUAAGCUGGACAACGAGUAAAACAGAAACACAGCCUUUUACAUUGAUUUUGCUUUCAAGGGGAAAAUGAACAAAUGACAGCAGAUAUAUGGAAAACCCAGCCAGUGACCACGGGAAUAGGGAGGGGUGUAUGGUCCUCCCCUACAAAACACCGAUCAAAAUAUCACCCAUGGCCCAGAAGUAGCGGCUGUGCCCUCGCGGUCACCUGAACCCCAGUGUCUUCUACUGUCUGGUGCCUGGAAACCAGUGGAUCUAUUAAUAAGUUAAAUAUUCAGUCAAGACAAAAAUCAAUGAACCAGGUUAUCUGUUCUUAAUGACUCUUCCAAGAUGUCAGAGAGAAGGCCUUGAACACAAGUUUAUACCAUGUGUGUGAGAGCUUUGCAUUUGGCCAGGCUGCGGACUCACACCUUCUCCCUCCAUCUGGAUUGCCUUUCACAUUCUCUCGAGUUCACAUGGAAACCAAAAAUACGGAGGGAAGUUACAUGCUGGGCUACAGAAGAGUCUGGACAACACACCCGCCUUGGGGGAGACACGGCGUCCAACUAAGAGGCAUUCGCUGGGGUUUGAAGAUGUCAGUUAUAAACAGAACUUUUCUUUAACAAGUACCAGUUUAAAUGUAAACUAUAAAACUCUUUAACGUAGCCAGAAAUAUGCUUAAGUAUCCACAGUCAAUUGUUUAGUUUACUCAUUUAAAAUGUGACUCUCUUGAUAUCUUAGAAGGCUAACAGCAUUUUACAGUAGCUAAAAA
rnacentral:lncRNA from 13 species